GGUGGCUCAGUGGUAGAGUGCUUGUCUUGCAUGCAUUAAGCCCUGAGUUCAAUUCCUCAGCACCA
rnacentral:tRNA from 1 species